AAACUUGCCAUCCAUGCACGGGAUGACUGGGUGUUCACACCCGUGUGUGAGGUGCGCCCACUUCACACUUUGUUAUGAUGUCAGCACAUUAUCUGCCUGACA